rnacentral:rRNA from 1 species
UACGUAGGUCCCGAGCGUUGUCCGGAUUUAUUGGGCGUAAAGCGAGCGCAGGUGGUUUAUUAAGUCUGGUGUAAAAGGCAGUGGCUCAACCAUUGUAUGCAUUGGAAACUGGUAGACUUGAGUGCAGGAGAGGAGAGUGGAAUUCCAUGUGUAGCGGUGAAAUGCGUAGAUAUAUGGAGGAACACCGGUGGCGAAAGCGGCUCUCUGGCCUGUAACUGACAGUGAGGCUCGAAAGCGUGGGGAGCAAACAGG